AACGAACGCUGGCGGCAUGCCUAACACAUGCAAGUCGAACGAGACCUUCGGGUCUAGUGGCGCACGGGUGCGUAACGCGUGGGAACCUGCCCUUAGGUUCGGAAUAACUCCCCGAAAGGGGUGCUAAUACCGGAUAAUGUCUUCGGACCAAAGAUUUAUCGCCUUUGGAUGGGCCCGGGUUGGAUUAGCUGGUUGGUAGGGUAAAAGCCUACCAAGGCGAUGAUCCAUAGCUGGUGUGAGAGGAGGAUCAGCCACACUGGGACUGAGACACGGCCCAGACUCCUACGGGAGGCAGGAGUGGGGAAUAUUGGACAAUGGGCGAAAGCCUGAUCCAGCAAUGCCGCGUGAGUGAUGAAGGCCUUAGGGUUGUAAAGCUCUUUUACCCGGGAUGAUGAUGACAGUACCGGGAGAAUAAGCUCCGGCUAACUCCGUG
rnacentral:rRNA from 1 species